CGCAAUGGUUAAUGAAAGACAUUCAUUUUCUGUUUAAAGUGUAAAAAUAUAGAGAUACAGCGCUUCGUAGGAGAUUCACUCAGCACAACUUGAAUCCGGCACCAUGAAUAAUUGAUUUGGAAGAGUUAAUCUUCAAACAUUUUCAUCUUUCUAGCGUACUUUUACUUGUAUGUGAUGUCUAUGAGUUUAUGAGUAUGCUCAGGGCUGGGAGGGUUACUUUAAAAAUGUAUUCAGACACAAUUACUAAUUACCUCUU